CAACAUUGUGGUGUUUUAUGACCAGGUGUUGCGUGUGGAGGACUUAAAGUCCAAGUGUUAUCUCUACAGAGCAGGUGGGGACGGCAGGGAGUGGACAGAGCCCUCGGUGGAGCACCAGGUGCUUCCAGAGGUGUUCCGAGCUUCUCCUGAUCACCAGGAUGGAGGGAAUUGGGGCGCUGCCGCUGCUUCUGCUGCUCUCUGCACUACACUCUGUCACAGGGUUGGAGAGCAACAACUGCGAGUCGAACCCAGAGCUGCAAUGCAACUUCAUUUGCGACUGUUCAAACUGUACCGAUGAGCAAAUGUGUGGCUAUGAUGGACACACCUUUAUCUGCGACUUCGAGGACCUGGCGACCUGUGGCUGGAAGUCAUCGAACGCCUCCAUGUACAGGUGGGAGAGGCGCCAGCGGGGGCGCUCACUGCCAGACAGCGGGCCCUCGUCCGAUUUCACCACAGGCACCUCCACAGGUAUUGCGCUGACUGCACCGGCACCAGCACACACAUACGUACAGCUGUCAGCUUAACCUCUCUGUGAAACCCUAACCCGUCAAUCUUUUUACAAAAGGGAAAAAGCUGCAAAUGCAGAGAAUUAUUGGAACAUGUUGCAGUUUUUUUUUCCAAUCAUUGAAACAAGUGGGUGGGGGGAGCGAGGGCGCGGCGGGUUUGGCCGGGCCCCGCUCUCUGGCGGGUCUGGGGUUCGAGUCCCGCU
rnacentral:lncRNA from 1 species